rnacentral:rRNA from 1 species
GAGUUUGAUCCUGGCUCAGAUUGAACGCUGGCGGCAUGCCUUACACAUGCAAGUCGAACGCGAAAGCGGAGCAAUCCGCAAGUAGAGUGGCGAACGGGUGAGUAAUACAUCGGAACAUUUCCAGUAGCGGGGGAUAACCUGUCGAAAGAUAGGCUAAUACCGCAUACGCCCUACGGGGGAAAGCGGAGGACCGCAAGGCUUCGCACUAUUGGAGUGGCCGAUGUCGGAUUAGCUAGUUGGCGGGGUAAAAGCCCACCAAGGCAACGAUCCGUAGCUGGUCUGAGAGGACGAUCAGCCACACUGGAACUGAGACACGGUCCAGACUCCUACGGGAGGCAGCAGUGGGGAAUUUUGGACAAUGGGCGCAAGCCUGAUCCAGCCAUGCCGCGUGAGUGAAGAAGGCC